rnacentral:misc_RNA from 1 species
UCGAGUUUGUGAGGUCUUUACGCACAACUCCCACCCCUUUGUUAAACUACUCGUUAUUUUGGCGGGCCGACAAUCAGUCUUUGACUCGCGUCGGCCGGACUGUCUCGGACAGUCGGGUUGGAGCUCGCCAAAAGCCUUUUUUUACCUGCUAUGUAGUUGUAGUCUGAGUGUUUGGGCAAUUGAAUAA